rnacentral:tRNA from 1 species
GCGAUGUUGCUCAAUUGGUACAAGGUCUGUCUGUGACACAGGAAGUCCUGGGUUCAAUGCCCAGCACUGCA